AAAAUGGUGUAAUAUACAACAUUUUAAUUAUAAAUAGGAAAGGAGACGCCAGUGCUUGGAGGCUCAGGAGAAGAUUCGACUUAAGGCAAUUGAAGACCGACACCAGAGGAUUAUAAAUCUUGAGGAACCCAUUGAUGGUGUGCCGAUCAAAUUUAAGUUUCCCAAUGGACUGGAAAGGAUUCGAAAGUUCAACUUGUCUGAGACAAUUCAAGUAUUAUUUGACUUUGUUGGUCAGGAUGACCUGUCCAGUGAAGUUUUCUAUGUUCAGGAAGCAACAUCAUCUACACCUCUUAAAAAUAAUCUUUCAGGAACACUGAAUGAUUACAACAUCAAGGGGUUUUCAACUCUGUACGUUGUUUGGACUUCAUCGGAGGAAGCACCUUCAUUAGCAUCGCCACAUGAGCCAUCUACUUCGGUACAGAGUGCUUGUCAUACUCCUUCACCACCACACUGGUCACCUGCACCUUCACCUCCACACUGGUCACCUGCUUCUUCACCUUCUUACACUUCUACUCACUGGUCACCUGUACAUUUUUCUCCCACUGAAGCAACCUCUGUGACAACAGAUAACUGUGAAUCUACUUCAGCUGAAUUUGAUCUGCAGAUGAUUUUGGAGAAGCUUCAUAGCAGAGUUGAUCUCUCUUCUUGUCCCACAAGCAACCAAAUCAAUGUAAUUCGAGACAACCUAUUACAGGGCAGCCUACAAGCUUUUAAACGAAGGCGUUUUAAUCCAGGAGCAAGGCUGGAUGUGGUUUUUGUGGAUUCUGAUGGGGUUGGUGAAGGAGCUGUAGACGAAGGUGGUCCCACCAGGGAAUACCUGCGUUUGCUGAUGAGGGAAAUUCAAACGUCAAGAAUUUUUGAAGGACCUGAAAAUAACAGAUUACUGGCUCUUGAUACUCAUGCUCUUGAGAACGGCUUGUACUCGACAAUUGGAAAAAUGAUUGCAGUCUGCAUAAUUCAUGGUGGCGUUGGACCUCAUUUUUUUUCUGAUCGUCUCUUUAUGCAACUCUUUGGAAAAUGUACACCUCCUGUCUCCCUUGAGGAAAUAGCAGACAGCUCCUUCAGAGAGAAACUCUUGAAGAUUAAAGAUGCAGACUCUGUUCAAAAAUCACAUGCUGCAAUCUCAGAUGCUGUGGACUGUCUGAGCAUGAUGGGAGCCUUAAGGUACAUCUCAUCUCUGGAAGAGAGAGAUUCCCUGGUCCAAUCUGCAGCAGAUUACUUUGUGAAUGGGCGGACAGUUUUGGCCC